UACAGAGACUGCAAGCGUUAUUCGGAUUCACUGGGCGUAAAGGGCGCGCAGGCGGUCGGGUGUGUCAGAUGUGAAAUCCCGAGGCUCAACCUCGGAACUGCGUCUGAAACUACUCGACUAGAGUACUGGAGAGGGUAACGGAAUUCACGGUGUAGCAGUGAAAUGCGUAGAUAUCGUGAGGAACACCAGAGGCGAAGGCGGUUACCUGGACAGUUACUGACGCUCAGGCACGAAAGCAUGGGGAGCAAAAGGG
rnacentral:rRNA from 1 species